AUGCAUAGAUUAAUGAGAAAUAAUGCGAAUUAACGAGAACGUUUAUGUUGAACGCACCGGUGUCUCGCCCUGGUGCACACGAGUAUAUAACCGGCGUUUAGGCUCCGUAUCAGCUGAUCGCGUCUACAACAGCUGAUCGCAUAAGAAAAAUCUUUCACGUUAAAUUAUAGUGCUUACAGACGGACAUAAAGAAAUAAAACUCAUAAAAAUGGAGGUGACAAGAGUCCUAAUUUGCGUUGCGCUUUCACUCGUGCUUCUCGCUGACGCUGGCAUAUUUUUCGCCAAUCCCCAAUCACAACGAACAGAAGGAAUUGCUGACCUUGGUUCGGCAUAUCAACCACGAGGUUACGCAACACAGCCGUCGUGAACGUCGUCAUCUGCGCACCCAACAAAUUGCAAUGAUGGAGUUCUGCUUAAGGCACAGACAACAGUGCAGACGUGAGCUGCAGGCACUUCGUGAUAACGAAAACGAAGUUACGGUGGUCGUCGUGGAAAAAUAGAAGCAUUUAACGAAUUUAGGCAUUUAAAACAAUUUAAACUGGGGCACUGUCUAAGGCAUAGUUUUCGAAUUCUCCCCGGUUUAUGGACGGUCUCAAUAUACAAACAUGUGAUACAUGGUACAGAUAGUACGGGAUUUAUUAUGAAAUUGUAUUCGGUUACAUUCUACUAUUGUUCGUCAUUAGUACAUUCGACUUCGAAAAUUUGCAAUUCGGAUUGCAAUUUCACCUGUAUUUAUUUGAAGGAUAAGUAGGUAUAAGAAGUGUUAAAAACCGCCUUAAGUUCGGACGUGUAUUGGAAGAUUCCUUAAUAAGAUUCUUGGACUUUCAUAUGUACAGCCCAUACGUUAGGUAUGCUGCAGUGUACAUGUUCAAAUUGAGGCGGACAGAUCUUCUUUUAUAAAUAUGUAAUAGGAAAGGUCCAACGGCGUUUUUUAGAUACCAAAUUCUAAAAUCUGUAAAGAAAAAAAUGUAUGUAUUAUUGAAUCAUAUAUUACUAAUAUUAUGAUGCAGUGCUGUUUUAUUGAAGUCAAAGCGCCUUUGUUGACAAAGGCUGUGAAUUUAUGUCAUCUUAUGUAUUUUGUUCGUCUUUUCGGGGUUAAGUUGUAUUACA